CCUACGGGAGGCAGCAGUAGGGAAUCUUCCGCAAUGGACGAAAGUCUGACGGAGCAACGCCGCGUGAACGAUGAAGGUUUUCGGAUCGUAAAGUUCUGUUGUUAGGGAAGAACACGUACCGUUUGAAUAAGGCGGUACCUUGACGGUACCUAACGAGGAAGCCCCGGCUAACUACGUGCCAGCAGCCGCGGUAAUACGUAGGGGGCGAGCGUUGUCCGGAAUUAUUGGGCGUAAAGCGCGCGCAGGCGGUUUCUUAAGUCUGAUGUGAAAGCCCACGGCUUAACCGUGGAGGGUCAUUGGAAACUGGGGAACUGGAGUACAGAAGAGGAGAGCGGAAUUCCACGUGUAGCGGUGAAAUGCGUAGAUAUGUGGAGGAACACCAGUGGCGAAGGCGGCUCUCUGGUCUGUAACUGACGCUGAGGCGCGAAAGCGUGGGGAGCGAACAGGAUUAGAUACCCUGGUAGUCCACGCCGUAAACGAUGAGUGCUAGGUGUUAGGGGGUUUCCGCCCCUUAGUGCUGAAGUUAACGCAUUAAGCACUCCGCCUGGGGAGUACGGCCGCAAGGCUGAAACUCAAAAGAAUUGACGGGGGCCCGCACAAGCGGUGGAGCAUGUGGUUUAAUUCGAAGCAACGCGAAGAACCUUAC
rnacentral:rRNA from 1 species